UAGACUGAAGCCAGGGAUAGGGUAUUUAGCUGUUAACUAAAUUUUCGUAGGUAAUUAAUCCUACCAGUCUAG
rnacentral:tRNA from 1 species